rnacentral:rRNA from 1 species
UUACAUGCCGGUUUCAUGCAAGUCGAGCGAAUGGAUUANAUAGCGGGCGGGUGAGUAACACGUGGGCAACCUACCUUAUAGUUUGGGAUAACUCCGGGAAACCGGGGCUAAUACCGAAUAAUCUAUUUUACUUCAUGGUGAAAUACUGAAAGACGGUUUCGGCUGUCGCUAUAAGAUGGGCCCUGCGGCGCAUUAGCUAGUUGGUGAGGUAACGGCUCACCAAUGGCGACGAUGCUGUAGCCGACCUGAGAGUGGUGAUCUGGCCACACUGGGACUGAGACACUGUGCCCAGACUCCUACGGGAGGCAGCAGUAGGGAAUCUUCCGCAAUGGACGAAAGUCUGACGGAGCAACGCCGCGUGAGUGAUGAAGGCUUUCGGGUCGUAAAACUCUGUUGUUAGGGAAGAACAAGUGCUAGUUUGAAUAAGCUGGCACCUUGACCGGUACCUAACCAGAAAGCCACGGNGUAAACUACGUGCCAGCCAGCCGCGGGAUACCGUAAAAGGGUNNGGGCCAAAGGCCGGUUAAAUCCCGGGGNAA